rnacentral:lncRNA from 1 species
UGGCUUAUGAUUAAAUUUGUUUGUUAGCUGGGCACUGAGUGUAUUCUAUCACCAGUGAGGUAAUCCUCACAGCACAUUCCACGUUCCUGGAAAACUACUGGCCUUCUGGGCUGCCAUGUGUUUAUCCAGCAUAGGUUGUGUGGCACAGCACAGUUAUGAACACCACAAAAUUGAGCUGGAAAUCUCUAUGAGAUGAGAAGAAGCAUGACUCACUUCUCCCUGCCCUAGGGAUUACUUCUAGCUUUCAUUUUGAGGAACAUAUUCUCUUUGCUGCCCGAGUUCUUCUUUUUCAUAUACUGGAAACCAGUACUUAGGGAAGGGAUUAACUUUGUGCUUUGGAAUGCCUGUCAAGGUCUCAUGGUUCAAGUAUUCAAAUUCAAUUAGUCAAGAGGCUAAGGCCUGAGGAUUACAAGUUCAAGACCUGCCCAGACUACAGAAUGAGCUCAAGACUACCACCGGCUGGCUGGUUCGCUCUGUGUUCCCGGCUAGCAGCCGACCCACUGCAGCUGAGCUGCUCAGAACCAUCUACCCAGCUCAGAGAAACUGGCUGCUGCUGCGGGAAAGCCGCAAAGCCGUAUACUCUCUAAGAUAAGCGCAACCGCUUUUGUGACCUCUCUCCACCGCUGACCGACUGCUGCCAAACGCCUCGGAAUAACUGAACGCCUGUGCUACCUGCUGGUCAAAUAUAUUUACUGCAUCUGGAGUAGAAAUCAGGUAAAAUUAUGGCGGAAUAUUUAUCAUUUGCUAAAAUUGGUAAUGUUUUUGCUUAUUACGUGAAUUCACUGUUUGAGGAGGAUGCUAAUUUGCCAAUUACUGGCCUAUAUGCUGUAAUGGCAGUUAGCUUGCUGGUACAAAUAGUAUUACUAGCCAGAGGACUCAGGAACAGGGACAGAAAUAACCUCACCACCUGCUUGCAGGAAAUAACAGCUUUACGCAAUGAGGUUUUGGAAAACAGAUUAGGUCAGACCACAAUUGUGCAGCAAGUGGAACAGAAAUUGGAUGAUAAGCUUGGCUCUGUGUCCAAUACACUAAAGACAGAGCUGUCUGAUGAGAUGCAGCUUAUUUAUGAUAAGAUAAACACAGAGAGAUCCUCCAUGUCUGAGGCCUUAGAGGCUAGGCUGUCAGAAGACCAUGACCAGCUAAAGAAUAUCUGUAGCCAGCUAGAAACUCAGAUAGGC